rnacentral:lncRNA from 1 species
AAAUUACAGCUAGAUCCGCUUGCUGGCAAAAGAUUUUAAGAAUAACUGCGAGUCUGGUGGGAUACGUAUUUGCGAUCUUUUUUGGAACCGUCAUCUGCACCUGGCUUAGAAUUUAAAGAUCCUUCUGGAUAUUCUGGUUAUGUUGGGCUGGGCUUGUUCGUCUGUGUAACGUCGGCGAGCCUGUAUGAACCAGCAAGCAAGCGUUAUUUUUUGAGACUUGGUUCCUUCCUAAUUUCUGUGAAUGCGUCUUGAUUCCUCAAGCUUGCGGGACCAGUCGUCUAUGGGAUCAAGUUCCACAAUAAAAGUUC